rnacentral:rRNA from 1 species
GACCUCAAAUCAGGUAGGACUACCCGCUGAACUUAAGCAUAUCAAUAAGCGGAGGAAAAGAAACUAACAAGGAUUCCCCUAGUAACUGCGAGUGAAGCGGGAAAAGCUCAAAUUUAAAAUCUGGUGGUCUUUGGCCAUCCGAGUUGUAAUCUAGAGAAGUGUUAUCCGCGCUGGACCGUGUACAAGUCUCCUGGAAUGGAGCGUCAUAGAGGGUGAGAAUCCCGUCUUUGACACGGACUGCCAGGGCUUUGUGAUGCGCUCUCAAAGAGUCGAGUUGUUUGGGAAUGCAGCUCAAAAUGGGUGGUAAAUUCCAUCUAAAGCUAAAUAUUGGCGAGAGACCGAUAGCGAACAAGUACCGUGAGGGAAAGAUGAAAAGAACUUUGGAAAGAGAGUUAAACAGUACGUGAAAUUGCUGAAAGGGAAACGCUUGAAGUCAGUCGCGUUGUCUGGGGAUCAACCUUGCUUUUGCUGGGCGUACUUUCCAGAUGAUGGGUCAGCAUCAAUUUUGACCAUUGGAUAAAGUCUAGAGAAAUGUGGCAUCUUCGGAUGUGUUAUAAUCUCUAGUUGCAUACAAUGGUUGGGAUUGAGGAACUCAGCACGCCGAAUGGCCGGGUACAUUGUAUCACGUUCGUGCUUAGGAUGCUGGCAUAAUGGCUUUAAUCGACCCGUCUUGAAACACGGACCAAGGAGUCUAACAUGCCUGCGAGUAUUUGGGUGGAAAACCCGAGUGCGUAAUGAAAGUGAAAGUUGAGAUCCUUGUCAUGGGGAGCAUCGACGCCCGGACCAGACCUUUUGUGACGGAUCUGCGGUAGAGCAUGUAUGUUGGGACCCGAAAGAUGGUGAACUAUGCCUGAAUAGGGUGAAGCCAGAGGAAACUCUGGUGGAGGCUCGUAGCGAUUCUGACGUGCAAAUCGAUCGUCAAAUUUGGGUAUAGGGGCGAAAGACUAAUCGAACCAUCUAGUAGCUGGUUCCU